UGGGGAAUAUUGGACAAUGGGCGCAAGCCUGAUCCAGCCAUGCCGCGUGAGUGAUGAAGGCCCUAGGGUUGUAAAGCUCUUUCACCGGUGAAGAUAAUGACGGUAACCGGAGAAGAAGCCCCGGCUAACUUCGUGCCAGCAGCCGCGGUAAUACGAAGGGGGCUAGCGUUGUUCGGAUUUACUGGGCGUAAAGCGCACGUAGGCGGACUAUUAAGUCAGGGGUGAAAUCCCGGGGCUCAACCCCGGAACUGCCUUUGAUACUGGUAGUCUUGAGUUCGAGAGAGGUGAGUGGAAUUCCGAGUGUAGAGGUGAAAUUCGUAGAUAUUCGGAGGAACACCAGUGGCGAACGCGGCUCACUGGCUCGAUACUGACGCUGAGGUGCGAAAGCGUGGGGAGCAAACAGG
rnacentral:rRNA from 1 species